rnacentral:lncRNA from 1 species
AGCCACUUAGCUUUGAAACUGAAUUUUAACAAUGUUCCAAAAGGAGAAAUAAGGUAUAGCAUCUCACUACAAAUCCUCCAUCUCAAAACAUGGGGCCUGGAGUGGCCCCCCAAGACCCUACCCCUAAAACAAACUGGCUGUGGAUAUGGUGACAGAUUAGAAAGUUAAACCCUUCACCUCCAUGAAAGAAUCUGGAAUGGAGCAAACCCAUCAUUUACCUAAGAAGGCAGAAGGUGAGACAGUCCCAUUGCUGCGUGACACCAUGACACUGAUGCCUGUCUCUAUGAAGGGCACAGAGAAGUCGACCACCUCCGAUCGUUCCUCAUUGAUGAUGGCUACAGAGGAGUUUGAUGACUUGCCCAAGCUCCCACGGUAAGUGACUUGAAGCUGAGCAGUCUGACUCCAGAGCUUGGACUCCUACCCACCACUCUGCACUGCUUCUCUGACAAUGAAGGAGUAAGACAUGUUCCUUUUCCUCCAAGGACAGUCUAGAGGGAAAAGACACUAUCCAUCGACAAUAAUAGGCUUUGGUAAUUACUCUAAUAUCCACUAUCCAUUGACAAGUUAGGCUUUGGUAAUUACUGUAAUAAAAGAUAUAAAUAAAGUACUCCGGCAUUCAGAGUAGAA